rnacentral:rRNA from 1 species
UGAGCAAUCUGCCCUUCUCAUCGGAAUAAGCGUUGGAAACGACGUCUAAUGCCGAAUACGACCUCCUUUCGCAUGAUCGGAGGUGGAAAGCUCCGGCGGAGAAGGAUGAGCUCGCGGCCUGUCAGCUAGUUGGUGUGGGUAAUGGCCCACCAAGGCGACGACGGGUAGCCGGCCUGAGAGGGUGACCGGCCACACUGGGACUGAGACACGGCCCAGACCUCCGUACGGGAGCAG